rnacentral:rRNA from 1 species
UGUGGUGACGAUGGCGAGAAGGAUACACCUGUUCCCAUGUCGAACACAGAAGUUAAGCUUCUUAGCGCCGAGAGUAGUUGGGGGAUCGCUCCCUGCGAGG